UCGGCUUUAAUUAAAUCUUUUUUUAAUCUGACUUGAUGAAGUCAGUGGGAGGAUUGAAAUUGGCUGGUUAAUUUCUUCUCUUCUAUCCUUUAAUAAAAUCCUCAAAAUUAUUAGGUCCCUAAAAUGAUUAAGUUAUAGUGAUAACUAAGUCAUAACCUCCCAUUAAGUGAGUGAUAAUGAGUCCAUUAGUUUAAUAAUCA
rnacentral:lncRNA from 1 species